UGAAUACGAGACGCUAAGGCGUCGAAGUAGUGUAUGUCAUACUUCCAAGAAAAGCUUGCACUGUCAUAGAUAAAAAACGCCUGUACCAUAACCGACACAGGUGGGUAGGUAGAGUAUACUAAGGGGCGCGAGAUAACUCUCUCUAAGGAACUCGGCAAAAUAGCUCCGUAACUUCGGGAGAAGGAGUGCCUUAUUCGUAAGGUUGCAAUAACAAGAUCCAAGCAACUGUUUAUCAAAAACACAGGUCUCCGCUAAGUCGUAAGACGAUGUAUGGGGCUGACGCCUGCCCAGUGCCAGAAGGUUAAAGAAGUUGGUUAGCAAUUGCGAAGCUGAUAACUGAAGCCCUGGUGAACGGCGGCCGUAACGAUAACGGUCCUAAGGUAGCGAAAUUCCUUGUCGGGUAAGUUCCGACCCGCACGAAAGGCGUAAUGAUUUGGAUACUGUCUCGGAGAGGGGCUCGGUGAAAUAGACUUGUCUGUGAAGAUGCGGACUACCUGCACCAGGACAGAAAGACCCUAUGAAGCUUUACUGUAACUUGAAAUUGAAAUUGGACUUUAUUCGCGCAGUAUAGGUGGGAGGCGUUGAUUAUAAUCUUGUGGGAUUAUUGGAGCCAUCAGUGAGAUACCACUCUUGUAAUGUUAGAUUUCUAACUUUGAAUCAUUAUCUGGUCAGAGAACAGUUUCAGGCGGGCAGUUUGACUGGGGCGGUCGCCUCCUAAACGGUAACGGAGGCGUACAAAGGUUUCCUCUGAACGGUUAGAAAUCGUAUCUAGAGUGUAAAGGCAUAAGGAAGCUUGACUGUGAGACCUACAAGUCGAGCAGGGACGAAAGUCGGUCUUAGUGAUCUGACGGUACUGAGUGGAAAGGCCGUCACUCAACGGAUAAAAGUUACUCUAAGGAUAACAGGCUGAUCUCCCCCAAGAGUUCACAUCGACGGGGAGGUUUGGCACCUCGAUGUCGGCUCAUCGCAUCCUGGGGCGGUAGUACGUCCCAAGGGUUGGGCUGUUCGCCCAUGAAAGCGGUACGCGAGCUGGGUUCAGAACGUCGUGAGACAGUUCGGUCCAUAUCCGGUGUAGGCGUUAGAAUAUUGAGAGGAGCCUUCUUUAGUACGAGAGGACCGAGAAGGACAUACCUCUGGUGUACCAGUUAUCGUGCCAACGGUAAACGCUGGGUAGCUAUGUAUGGAGUGGAUAACCGCUGAAAGCAUCUAAGUGGGAAGCCCACCUCAAGAUAAGUAUUCUCA
rnacentral:rRNA from 1 species